rnacentral:rRNA from 1 species
ACUCAAAGGAAUAGACGGGGGCCCGCACAAGCGGUGGAGCAUGUGGUUUAAUUCGACGCAACGCGAAGAACCUUACCAGGUCUUGACAUCCCCUGACAACAUCAGAGAUGAUGUAUUUUAUCUUCGGAUAGACAGGGAGACAGGUGGUGCAUGGUUGUCGUCAGCUCGUGUCGUGAGAUGUUGGGUUAAGUCCCGCAACGAGCGCAACCCUUGUUCUUAGUUGCCAGCAGGUAAAGCUGGGCACUCUAAGGAAACUGCCGGUGACAAACCGGAGGAAGGUGGGGAUGACGUCAAAUCAUCAUGCCCUUUAUGACCUGGGCUACACACGUGCUACAAUGGCCUGUACAAAGGGUAGCGAAGCAGUGAUGUGGAGCCAAUCCCGAAAAGCAGGUCUCAGUUCGGAUUGCAGGCUGCAACUCGCCUGCAUGAAGUCGGAAUCGCUAGUAAUCGCGGAUCAGCAUGCCGCGGUGAAUACGUUCCCGGGCCUUGUACACACCGCCCGU